ACCCUCUGGUUCCCUUUCCCAUCAGAUCUGAAUGCUGGUCUUGGUGGUCGUAAAAGGAGGGAAAGUGAUACUGAAGCUGCCUCACAGCAUUGCAGCCUGGCAUAGCAUGUGGGCUAGUUUCAAACAGGA
ensembl:snoRNA